ensembl:lncRNA
GAGAAAGCAGUCCUACUAGAUUUGUGUCUACAAGCAGCACUAGAUCACAGAGAAACAUUCCAGAGAACUGUGAACACACUGCUGUCACUGUUCUCUGUGUAUCAAACUGAGAGAUAUGACAUCCUGCUGGAUCUGUACUCUCAUGUGAAGUACAAUAGGAAUCAAACAGCCAGGAGUGUCCUUCCAUCAUUGCAGCCACUUUACCAGUCAGCUCCUGCAGUCUGGUCCAUAGACCUCUCAGAGAGAAAGACCUCCCUCCUCCUAGAAGUGCUGAAACUCCAACCAGGGAAGAAACCAGUAGAGCUGAAGGGCUGGUCAGAUGAAGAGAGUGAAGUGAGGAGUUUCCUUCAGUGUCUGUCCUACAUCUCACAGCUGAGAUUUUCUCCACUGAAGGAUAACAUAAAUAGGAGAAAGAGAGACAAGACAUUCCUACUGAAUCUGUGUCUUCAAGCAGCUCUCCAUGAGAGAGGAACCAUACAAACAACUGUAGAGAAAGUGUUGUCGCUGUCUAAAGUAUAUCACAAUCAGAAAUGUGAUUUCCUGCUGGAUCUGAUCUCACAUGCGAAGGACUAUGAGACUCAAACAGGCAGGAUGGUCCUUCCAGCAUUACAGCCACUUUACCAGUCAGCUCCUGCAGUCUGGUCCAUAGACCUCUCAGAGAGAAAGGCCUCCCUCCUCCUAGAAGUGCUGAAACUCCAACCAGAGCAGAAACCAGUAGAGCUGAAGGGCUGGUCAGAUGAAGAGAGUGAAGUGAGGAGUUUCCUUCAGUGUCUGUCCUACAUCUCACAGCUGAGUUUUAUUCCUCCACAGGAUCAGAGAAGAUCCCCUGAAGAGAGGACAAGGAGAGAGAAGACAUUCCUACUGAAUCUGUGUCUUCAAGCAGUUCUCCAUGAGAGAGGAACCAUACAAACAACUGUAGAGAAAGUGGUGUCACUGUCUGAAGUAUAUCACAACCAGAAAUGUGAUUUCCUGCUGGAUCUGAUCUCACAUGUGAAGGACUAUGAGACUCAAACAGGCAGGAGUGUCCUUCCAGCAUUACAGCCAGUUUACCAGUCAGCUCCUGCAGUCUGGUCCAUAGACCUCUCAGAGAGAAAGGCCUCCCUCCUCCUAGAAGUGCUGAAACUCCAACCAGAGAAGAAACCAGUAGAGCUGAAGGGCUGGUCAGAUGAAGAGAGUGAAGUGAGGAGUUUCCUUCAGUGUCUGUCCCACAUCUCACAGCUGAGUUUCUAUACAGACUGGUCUGAUUCCUCAAAGCUGAUCAAGUUCCUGGUGGAUCUCCUGUCUCAAGCAGCAGAGUGGGAGGAGCAGACAGGAGAGAAGACACUGAAGCUGGUAUCAUCAGUGUGGACUUACAGCACCUUUCCUUAUCGCCAUGGAGACAAUUAUAAACAGAGUGAUUUCCUGUUGGAUCUGUACUCACAUGUGAAGGACUAUGAGACUCAAACAGGCAGGAGUGUCCUUCCAGCAUUACAGCCAGUUUACCAGUCAGCUCCUGCAGUCUGGUCCAUAGACCUCUCAGAGAGAAAGGCCUCCCUCCUCCUAGAAGUGCUGAAACUCCAACCAGAGAAGAAACCAGUAGAGCUGAAGGGCUGGUCAGAUGAAGAGAGUGAAGUGAGGAGUUUCCUUCAGUGUCUGUCCUACAUCUCACAGCUGAGUUUCCAUCCAUGGAGGUCUGAUCCCUCAAAGCAGAUCAAGUUCCUGGUGGAUCUCCUGUCUCAAGCAGCAGAGUGGGAGGAGCAGACAGGAGAGAAGACACUGAAGCUGGUAUCAUCAGUGUGUACUUACAGCACCUUUCCCUUCUGUGAAUGGGAUCAUGAUGUUGAGGUAUAUCAAUGUGAUUUCCUGUUGGAUCUGUACUCACAUGUGAAGGACUCUGAGACUCAAACAGGCAGGAGUGUCUUUCCAGCAUUACUGCCAGUUUACCAGUCAGCUCCUGCAGUCUGGUCCAUAGACCUCAGAAAGAGAAAGGCCUCCCUCCUCCUAGAAGUGCUGAAACUCCAACCAGGGAAGAAACCAGUAGAGCUGAAGGGCUGGUCAGAUGAAGAGAGUGAAGUGAGGAGUUUCCUUCAGUGUCUGUCCUACAUCUCACAGCUGAGAUUUCCUCUACUGAAGGAUAAUAUAGAGACAAGAAAGAGAGAGAAGACAUUCCUACUGAAUCUGUGUCUUCAAGCAGUCCUCCAUGAGAGAGGAACCAUACAAACAACUGUAGAGAAAGUGUUGUCGCUGUCUAAAGUAUAUCGCUUUCAGAAAUGUGAUUUCCUGCUGGAUCUGUACUCACAUGUGAAGGACUAUGAGACUCAAACAGGCAGGAGUUUCCUACCAGCAUUACAGCCAUCUCCUGCAGUCUGGUCCAUAGACCUCUCAGAGAGAAAGGCCUCCCUCCUCCUAGAAGUGCUGAAACUCCAACCAGAGAAGAAACCAGUUGAGCUGAAGGACUGGUCAGAUGAAGAGAGUGAAAUGAGGAGUUUCCUUCAGUGUCUGCCCUACAUCUCACAGCUUAGUUUCUGUCCACGGAGGUCUGAUCCCUCAGAGCAGAUCAAGUUCCUGGUGGAUCUCCUGUCUCAAGCAGCAGAGUGGGAGGAGCAGACAGGAGAGAAGACACUGAAGCUGGUAUCAUCAGUGUGUUCUUACAGCACCUUUCCUUUUCUCAAUGGAGACAAUUCUCAACAGAGUAAUUUCCUGCUGGAUCUGUACUCACAUGUGAAGGACUAUGAGACUCAAACAGGCAGGAGUGUCCUUCCAGCAUUACAGCCAGUUUACCAGUCAGCUCCUGCAGUCUGGUCCAUAGACCUCUCAGAGAGAAAGGCCUCCCUCCUCCUAAAAGUGCUGAAACUCCAACCAGAGAAGAAACCAGUAGAGCUGAGGGGCUGGUCAGAUGAAGAGAGUGAAGUGAGGAGUUUCCUUCAGUGUCUGUCCUAUAUCUCACAGCUGAGUUUUAUUCCUCCACAGGAUCAGAGAAGAUCCCCUGAAGAGAGGACAAGGAGAGAGAAGACAUUCCUACUGAAUCUGUGUCUUCAAGCAGUUCUCCAUGAGAGAGGAACCAUACAAACAACUGUAGAGAAAGUGUUGUCACUGUCUAAAGUAUAUCGCUUUCAGAAAUGUGAUUUCCUGCUGGAUCUGUACUCACAUGUGAAGGACUCUGAGACUCAAACAGGCAGGAGUUUCCUUCCAGCAUUACAGCCAGUUUACCAGUCAGCUCCUGCAGUCUGGUCCAUAGACCACAGAAAGAGAAAGGCCUCCCUUCUCCUAGAAGUGCUGAAACUCCAACCAGAGAAGAAACCAGUAGAGCUGAAGGGCUGGUCAGAUGAAGAGAGUGAAAUGAGGAGUUUCCUUCAGUGUCUGUCCUACAUCUCACAGCUGAGGUGAGUCUGAACAUGUGGUGGUUAGUGAUCAUGUGAUGCUAGUGGUUAUUAUCUUGAAACAUUUGACAUAUAAAACUUCAAUUGUUGGUAAAUCUUGUAGCAGUAGGAAGAGAGAGAGAGAAAGUUAGAGAGAGAGGUAAGAGAGAGAGAGAGAGAGAGAGAGAGAGAGAGCGAGAGACUACGACGAAAAGACUUCCACCCCGCCACAAUACAGCGGGUAAAUGCAAGUAUUUCCCGUGACUGUGCCUCAAAACCAAACGUUUUCCUGGCCCACCACUCCACCCUGGACUUGAACAGCCUCUAUGACCAGGUCCACCUCUACAAGGCAGCAGUGCCCACCUUUGCCCGGACUCUAAAGGACAUCGCUCUCAAACGUAUCUCCAACACUUCACACAGGAGCAACAGAUCAAUAGACACCCCGCCCAGACCAGCGAGACACCCUCCCAGACCUGCG